UACGUAGGGGGCUAGCGUUAUCCGGAAUUACUGGGCGUAAAGGGUGCGUAGGUGGUUUCUUAAGUCAGAGGUGAAAGGCUACGGCUCAACCGUAGUAAGCCUUUGAAACUGGGAAACUUGAGUGCAGGAGAUGAGAGUGGAAUUCCUAGUGUAGCGGUGAAGUGCGUAGAUAUUAGGAGGAACACCAGUUGCGAAGGCGGCUCUCUGGACUGUAACUGACACUGAGGCACGAAAGCGUGGGGAGCAAACAGGAUUAGAUACCCUGGUAGUCCCUGA
rnacentral:rRNA from 1 species